UGCCUACGGGGGGCAGCAGUGGGGAAUAUUGCACAAUGGGGGAAACCCUGAUGCAGCAACGCCGCGUGAGUGAAGAAGUCAUUCGUGAUGUAAAGCUCUAUCAGCAGGGAAGAAAAUGACGGUACCUGAGUAAGAAGCCCCGGCUAACUACGUGCCAGCAGCCGCGGUAAUACGUAGGGGGCAAGCGUUGUCCGGAAUUACUGGGUGUAAAGGGAGCGUAGGCGGGGAUGCAAGUUGGGUGUCAAAACUACCGGCUCAACCGAUAGUCG
rnacentral:rRNA from 1 species